GCCGCACAUGCCCUUAAGACGGAGAUGAGAUGGUUCGGGGGUCAGGAGGAUGCGCUGCUCUUCAGAGGGUCCCAGUUCGGUUCCCAAGCACCCGUGUUGGGCUGCUCACGAGCGCCUUUAGCUCACACGCUAACACGGUACCCAGAGAAGCCAGAAGAGGGCAUCAGAUCCCCUGGAACUGGAGAAGGUGGUGAGUUGCCCAGUGGGUGCUGGGACUUGAACUCCAACCUUUGGAAGAGCAGCUAGAACUGUUACCCAUCUCUCUAGCCCCUCCCCACUCCACCACCCUACCCUUGCCCCAGACCACCUUCUUGAUCAUGAUGUCUCCCCUGCAAGCUUUAUUUAAAGGAAUCUGAAGUAGAGUAACACCAGAGGAGACAAGCUUACAAGCUAUCAUUCAAGAAAGCCUGCAUCCAUCAUUUCUGCAAACGGAGUCCACAGGCUGACGGUCCUCAGAGGGCACACAUGACUCAAGCAUCUCCCUGGGAACAGCGAUGACAAGGACAGGGACGGAUGGGAAAACAGAAUCUCUGCUUGUCUUCUGACUUCGGAAUAAGACACUAAUGGGUGGCAGGCAUGUUCAAUGUCAAACUCCAGCACUGUGUGUGGGGCGGGCAGGAGGAACUGUACACGUUUAGUAUCUCAGAGGAGAGAGAUUCAGAGCUGAGAAUGUAACCGAUGUAACCCUGUAAAGCCUUUUAAAAACUACCCACAUCUGACCCAAUGCCAUCAGUUACCAAGCUGGUUUCAGUUUCUUUGAGAAGCGUAACCUGUGUGUAAACCAUGCAAAUAUAAUAAUGUGGAUGA